rnacentral:lncRNA from 12 species
GCUGCACAUAUUCAGUUGCUCUACCUUUGUGCUGCAGUUCUUUACUCUGCAAAAUGUUCUUCUCAGUACACAAAAGCAGCUGCUGAAGAAACUGCUUCAGACCGAGGGUGAGAGAAUUGAUGGCGGGAUCCCUAAGCAAACUCCGGUAGAGACUGAGAGAACGAGACGGUGCAGAGACACCGAAGGAGCUUCGGUGAAAAACAUAAUUGCCUGUCAUCGAACCCCAGAUGCCUUUUGUAAUAAGGAAGGAAGGAAUGGGAAAGCAAGGAGAUGCACGACUGCCCUGUGAAAAACACAUUUGGGAAGGGAAGAAGAGAAAUACUGAGCCUGCUAGAGACUUGAAUAUAUAUAACAUGAAUAUAUAAUUUAACACGAUUUAUGCCAACUAAGCAACAAUUAGUAAGAUAUUAUCUUCAUGUACUGAAAAGUUUGAUGAACUGGCCAAACCCACCCCUCUGAAACGUGCUACAGGAC